rnacentral:rRNA from 1 species
CCUACGUGAGGCAGCAGUGAGGAAUAUUGGUCAAUGGGCGAGAGGCUGAACCAGCCACGUCGCGUGAAGGAUGACUGCCCUACGGGUUGUAAACUUCUUUUGUAGAGGAAUAAAGUGAGGCACGUGUCCCUUUUUGUCUGUACUUUAUGAAUAAGGAUCGGCUAACUCCGGGCCAGCAGCCGCGGUAAUACGGAGGAUCCGAGCGUUAUCCGGAUUUAUUGGGUUUAAAGGGAGCGUAGAUGGGUUGUUAAGUCAGGUGUGAAAUUUUGGGGCCCAACCCUCAAAUUGCAAUUGAUACUGGCAUUCUUGAGUGGAGGAGAGGUAGGCGGAAUUCGUGGUGUAGCGGUGAAAUGCGUAGAUAUCACGAAGAACUCCGAUUGCGAAGGCAGCGUACUAAA